rnacentral:lncRNA from 1 species
AAACAAACAACAAUUUGUUAACGAAAAUUUAAAAGGUUUGAAACCCACACCUGAUUCGUGAUCAAUGAUGUCUAAACACUGACUCCCCGACCAAGGAGUGAAGCUCUCUGAAAUCCAUAAGCAAAACUGUCUCCUAAAAGAAGAUAAAGAAAAAAGAAAAAUAAAAGCAACAAAGGAGAGGGAGAGGAGAACGUGAAAAGAAAGAAAACAGAAAAAAAAUUAAUAAAAAUAAAACUAUAUAGUUAUUUUUAAACUUAAAACAUAUCUACUAUUUAACCAAAUAAAAAUAUUUCUCCAAAACACACACAAGGAUUCAAACACGCAUCCCAGAGACACACUAACACACAACUAACCACCAGACCAGCAGACCUAUUCUAUCACUUAAACGUGCAACUAAACACAAUAGCAUAACAUACUCAUUGACCCUAACCACAAAACUAAAAAC